rnacentral:rRNA from 1 species
GCGGGGAGGGAGGGAGUAAAGUUAAUACCUUUGUUCAUUGACGUUCCCCGCAGAAGAAGUACCGGCUAACUCCGUGCCAGCAGCCGCGGUAAUACGGAGGGGGCAAGCGUUAAUCGGAAUUACUGGGCGUAAAGCGCACGCAGGCGGGUUGUUUAGUCAGAUGUGAAAUCCCCGGGCUCAACCUGGGGACAGCAUUUGAUACGGGCAAGCUUGAGGCUCGCAGAGGGGGGUAGAAUUCC